GUAGGGUCCAAGCGUUAAUCGGAAUUACUGGGCGUAAAGCGUGAGCAGGCGGUUGUGCAAGACCGAUGUGAAAUCCCCGGGCUUAACCUGGGAAUUGCAUUGGUGACUGCACGGCUAGAGUGUGUCAGAGGGGGGUAGAAUUCCACGUGUAGCAGUGAAAUGCGUAGAGAUGUGGAGGAACACCGAUGGCGAAGGCAGCCCCCUGGGCCAAUACUGACGCUCAUGCACGAAAGCGUGGGGAGCAAACAGG
rnacentral:rRNA from 1 species